rnacentral:rRNA from 1 species
GACGAACGCUGGCGGCGUGCCUAAUACAUGCAAGUCGAACGCAGUGGGGACGGGUGAUUAACACGUGGGUAACCUCCCAUCAGAGGGGAUAACACUUGGAAACAGGUGCUAAACCGCUACUGAUGGAUGGACCCGCGGUGCAUUAGCUAGUUGGUGAGGUAACGGCUCACCAAGGCCACGAGGCAUAGCCGCCCUGAGAGCGUCAUCGGCCACACUGGGACUGAGACAUGGCCCAGACUCCUACGGGCGGCAGCAGUAGGGAAUCUUCGGCAAUGGACGAAAGUCAGCCCGAGCAACGCCGCGUGGGUGAAGAAGGUUUUCGUAUCGUAAAACUCUGUUGUUAGAGAAGCGGUAUCUAACCAGAAAGCCACGGCUAACUACGUGCCAGCAGCCGCGGUAAUUC